UUCAUUCCAGUGCAUACUAUUAAAUUUAUUUUUUUUUUCAGAUUCUUGCUUUGUUUUGAAAAACCAUUACACUGCAUAAUAAAAUAAAAGAAGGCAGACGCAUAAUUAAUACAUAAGAAAAUAGAAUAGAUUGAAAGAGGAGCAGUGGUUUAGAAUUUAGACAGGAGAUAGAAGAGGGGGGAAACGGUUGAACAGCGCCGCCGGCGCUUCGCGCCACGGCGGCUGGCGGGAGGAGACAGGGACGGUGGCCUCAGCCGCUGUUGUGUUGUUCCGGUCGGACAAAGGGAGGAGGUGGCUGGACGGCGCUGCUGCGAUGGCAGUUGCUGCUGUUGUAGGCAAGACGGAAAUAAGGAAAAGGUAGUGACGCUAGCAGGCGGCGAAGGUCGCCGCCGGAGAAAGGAGGGCCCGCGGCCCGCCGGAAACAGACAAGGGGGGAGAGAUGAGGAAGAGGGAGAGAAGUCGCCGGAGAUGAAGAGAUGAGGGAAGAGGGAGAGAGGUUGAGGAGAGGACACAUAUUUAAAUUGAUAUAAGCAUGAUUAUUUGUAUUGUGGAUGAUUUAAUUUUAAUAUUAGCAUGAUUGUUUGAUGAUUUUCGUACCCUCAAUUUUUGACAAUUUAUGUUCAUGAACUUUUCCGAGUUUAAAAGUAUUUCAGGUCAUUAUCUUAGGGCGAUUUGCAAAAAUAGGCUACUAUUUUUCGGACUUGUAAAAAUAGGCCAAUUAUUUUAGUUUUUGGUAUUUUUAGGCCACAUGUGUACCCAAUCAGACUAUUUUGGGCCACAUUUUGACUCCAAAAAGUGGCCUAUAAAUGCUGAAUUGAGCUCAAAUGUGGCCUAAAAAUGCCAAAAUCUAAAAUAAUUGGCCUAUUUUUGCAAGUCCGUAAAAUAGUGGCUUAUUUUUGCAAAUCACCCUAAGAUAAUGGCCUUCAAUAAUUUUAAACUCAACUUUUCCUAAUACAGACCCUUUAACAAUAAAUUUGAAUUGAAAAUCUGUGAGCACUUAUGCCAAAUAAAUUAUAUGAUGCCCAAUAUAACAAUAAGGAUCCAAAAUAACAUAAUAAGGAACCGAGCUUCACACUUAUGGACCGAGCUCGAUUCAACUCGACUUGUAUACAUCCCUGCAUUCAACACCAUGUAAUUAACCUCAUUGUCUAUAUUUGUUCUCACAUAUACUGCACAUUCCUUCACAGUAAAGAAACAAAAACUUCAAACUGCUCCCUCGUUACUAGCUAGUUACUCGCAAAUGGGUAGGCGUAGGAGAAAAGAUAAAUCCCACCGAGGUUCAACUAGUAAUCCUCAGGAGGAUCCCGUUGCAGAGGAGCCUGUUGAAAUAAAACCAGCUGCACCCGGAGUUCCACCCGAAAUAAUGGAAUAUGACGUUCGUUAUGAGUACGAUUCAAGUACUCGUCACAGAGUGGUUGCACAAUUUGAUCAAAGGCGCCCAAAACCACUUUGACGAAUGCUAGAGUAUAUCUCAGGAAUUGUCACAGCCCAAAACCAUUUAUUUUCUUUGCAAUUUUUAUUUGAAAAUUAUUAAAUUUUCAAGUCAUUAAAAUAUAUAUCUAUGAGUCGAGUUUGUGAAUUAUAUAGUCGUGCCCCUAGUUAGAUAAAUAAAUUUAAAUUACAGAUUAUAAUUUUAGAAUUUUAAGCUCAAAGGUAUUAAUUUAAAUAUGAGCUUCUUUGAUGAUUGGGCCUAAUUGUAUAUAUGCUCCCUUUAAGUUGAACCUUAUUAUUUAUAUACUUGCAUUGGGCUAGAUUUUAAUAAAAAAGCCCAUAACAUUUAGCUGAUUAUCAGCAUUUUUCCAGCCACAAUUUCUGAUUACUUGGAGUAAUAACGUGUACCCUUCCUCAGCCACCAAAUUAUUUUCAAAAUCUUAUACAGCAAGUACCAUUUUACUUUUUUUUUUUAAUCGGAAAAAGUACCAUUUUACUACUCUUGUGCAGUACACUAUUAAUCCGCUGCCUCAUUUCCUUUUUCAUGUUAACUCCUAUCACUUUCUGGAAAUCAUUCGAAAAACUCAGCUGGCCGGCCUCUUGUUCUGUUCCUUUAACUUCAAGUGGUAAUUUUAAAUAUUUAUGUAAAACUAUGUAGUUUCAUUCCAGUGCAUACUAUUAAAUUUAUUUUUUUCAGACUCUUGCUUUGUUUUGAAAAACCAUUACACUGCAUAAUAAAAUAAAAGAAGGCAGACGCAUAAUUAAUACAUAAGAAAAUAGAAUAGAUUGAAAGAGGAGCAAUGGUUUAGAAUUUAGACAGGAGAUAGAAGAGGGGGGGAAACGGUUGAACAGCGCCGCCGGCGCUUCGCGCCACGGCGGCUGGCGGGAGGAGACAGGGACGGUGGCCUCAGCCGCUGUUGUGCUGUUUCGGUCGGACAAAGGGAAGAGGUGGCUGGACGGCGCUGCUGCGAUGGCAGUUGCUGCUGUUGUAGGCAAGACGGAAAUAAGGAAAAGGUAGUGACGCUAGCAGGCGGCGAAGGUCGCCGCCGGAGAAAGGAGGGCCCGCGGCUGGGAGCGGUGAGGGGAAACAGACAAGGGGGGAAAGAUGAGGAAGAGGGAGAGAAGUCGCCGAGAUGAAGAGAUGAGGGAAGAGGGAGAGAAGUUGAGGAGAGGACACAUAUUUAAAUUGAUAUAAGCAUGAUUAUUUGUAUUGUGGAUGAUUUAAUUUUAAUAUUAGCAUGAUUGUUUGAUGAUUUUCUUACCCUCAAUUUUUGACAAUUUAUGUUCAUGAACUUUUCCGAGUUUAAAAUUAUUUCAGGUCAUUAUCUUAGGGCGAUUUGCAAA
rnacentral:lncRNA from 1 species